AAAAGCCCCAGCUCUAGUUUCCCAAGCAGGACUGGAACAUUCGAGAACCUGCCUUGGUCCUGAGAUGGGUUCCAGGCUCGUCUUUGUGGUCUUGAGUCUCCUGUGUGCAAAACACAUGGAAGCUGCAGUCAUCCAAAGCCCAAGGAACAAGAUGGCAGUAUCAGGAGAAAAGGUGACAUUGAACUGUAACCAGACUGAUAACCACAGCUAUAUGUACUGGUAUCGACAGGACAUGGGGCAUGGGCUGAGGCUGCUCUAUUACUCAUAUGGUGCUGACAACACUGUGAAAGGAGAUGAUCCCGAUGGUUACAAGGUCUCCAGACCACGCCAAGAAGACUUCUCUCUCAUUCUGGAGUCGGCUUCCCUCUCUCAGACAGCUGUAUAUUUCUGUGCCAGCAGUGAUACACAGCAAUGUGUGGCUUCCUUCCCUCUGCACACAAAGCAAAUAGGGAAACUAACUGUCUGUGUACCCCCAGAAAGUCUCUGCCUCUGUAAGGGCCACUGAGCUCUGACAAACUAGGAACCUCAGAGCAUGAGUCUCAGCCUUCCUGAAGGUCAUUCUGACCUAUUUUUUAAGGAGAUAUCCAGAACUUGCUUCUGUUUUCUGAGAGUGAAAUGAACCAUUAGUUCAAGGUCAUGAUCAUUUUUGAUAAUCUCACAGCCACCAUCUCCCACCCUGUGGUCUUCAGUGACCACUUCAAUCACUUUACUACCCAACUGAAAAUCUUAUACAAUCUCUUCUCUGGAUGCUUUUACUCUGUAAAUCAGUAGCCCCUUUGUUCUUCAGGACAGUAGCCUGUAAGUUCCUUUGCCUUUUUCUUCACCCAUCUGAAUCAUCAGCUUUUACCCAGAAUUUCCUGGUUCUUUCCUUUCUAGCUAAACUUGUCUACAUUUAGUCACUUCCUCAUUUGUAGUGUACUGUUUUGCAUUCUGAAUAUAUUUUUCCCUGGACAUUUCUUCUGUAUUAUAGAUAUGUCUUUCCCUUUUGUUUUUGUAUCUAUUUUUUUUUAAAAAUAUAUAUUACAUAGUAGCAUUUUUUCUCUUUAUAGGGAGGGGGGAACGGGGAGAGGGGAAAGCACUUGGAAUGUAAACAAAGAAUAUAGAAAAUAAAUAAAUAAAAUUUAUAUAAAAAAAACAACUGAAAGAUGUAGAAACACUAUUAAGUUUCCAAUGGACUAAUGGAUGUAUUACAAAAUUAAGUAAACAUUACAUUUUGAUAAGAAAGAAAAACAAUGAAAAAAAUUUAAUUCUGUCAUCUUGUUUCUAUCACCCUUUCUUUGCCUCCUACCCCUAACAUACUCUUCUCUUUUUUCAAAUUAAUUUUAAGUUGUGUGUGUGUGUUCUGUGAAUAAAUACGUAAGUAUAACCUGAUAAGUAUGGUUAGUGUUACUUCCAUGUAUAUUUUUUAUGUUUUGGCAUGUAAGAUUAGAUAACAUUGUAAAGGACUCAUCCAGGUGGAAACUAAUUCCCCUACUCUCUGCAGUCUUUAAUUUCUUCAAGAAAAAACAUGCUGGGGGGAUUGUCAUGAAGAUUCCAUGAUAUAUUACUUUUUCCAGGCUUUGAGGAAUUUAGAAAUAAUUGCAACUGGUUUUCUUUUUAAAACAUAUAAGAACUUUGGCUCCAUGGGUGGCGCUUGGUAUUUUACAGAAUGGAUAAUAAAACUGAGUCAACAUUGAAUGUGGAGAUAUGCAUGAUGGUCACCUUUCAAGCAUUGUAACAGGUCUGAGAAAAUAAAGGAAAAAUGUGUAUUUUUGAUUUUGA